rnacentral:ribozyme from 1 species
GCUGCUCGGAACGUUGCACACCUCUUCGUGCUAAGCGGUAGGCAACGAUUUGUGAUCGGCUAAGAAUGUAAAU